rnacentral:rRNA from 1 species
AACGCUGGCGGCGUGCCUAACACGAUGCAAGUCGUACGAGAAAGUUGGCUUCGGACUGAUGAGUAAAGUGGCGCACGGGUGAGUAACGCGUGGAUAAUCUGCCUUUUAGUUGGGAAUAACGUACCGAAAGGUGCGCUAAUACCGGAUAAUACUGCAUAACUACUGUUGUGUAGUCAAAGAAGGCCUCUGUUUACAAGCUUUUGCUGAAAGAUGAGUCCGCGUACCAUUAGCUAGUUGGUAGGGUAAUGGCCUACCAAGGCUACGAUGGUUAGCUGGUCUGAGAGGAUGAUCAGCCACACUGGAACUGAGACACGGUCCAGACUCCUACGGGAGGCAGCAGUGAGGAAUAUUGCGCAAUGGGGGCAACCCUGACGCAGCAACGCCGCGUGAGUGAGGAAGGUUUUCGGACCGUAAAGCUCUGUCGAGCGGGAAGAAAUGUAUCGUGGCUAAUAUCCAUGAUAUUUGACGGUACCGCUAAAGGAAGCACCGGCUAACUCCGUG